AGUGAACGCUGGCGGUAGGCCUAACGCAUGCAAGUCGAACGGCAGCACAGUAAGAGCUUGCUCUUACGGGUGGCGAGUGGCGGACGGGUGAGGAAUACAUCGGAAUCUACUUUUUCGUGGGGGAUAACGUAGGGAAACUUACGCUAAUACCGCAUACGACCUACGGGUGAAAGCAGGGGAUCUUCGGACCUUGCGCGAUUGAAUGAGCCGAUGUCGGAUUAGCUAGUUGGCGGGGUAAAGGCCCACCAAGGCGACGAUCCGUAGCUGGUCUGAGAGGAUGAUAAGCCACACUGGAACUGAGACACGGUCCAGACUCCUACGGGAGGCAGCAGUGGGGAAGAUUGGACAAUGGGCGCAAGCCUGAUCCAGCCAUACCGCGUGGGUGAAGAAGGCCUUCGGGUUGUAAAGCCCUUCUGUUGGGAAAGAAAAGCAGCAGGUUAAUACCCCGCUGUUCUGACGGUACCCAAAGAAUAAGCACCGGCUAACUUCGUG
rnacentral:rRNA from 1 species